rnacentral:misc_RNA from 2 species
ACACCUCAACACAGACAGGUUUUACCACCUGUUCUGGUGCUUGGAUGUUGAAGGCUUGCUGGUGUUUUCACCAGCUCCUUUUAAAUGCAUUAGCAGAUCCAACAGAGCUGGCUUCAGUCUGAUAAACCUCUUAUCUGUAUUGCUGUCGCUAGUGAAUUUUGUUGUGUUCAGCUUCAAAUUGUCCAGUUUCAUUGGACUGUCUCCUUGGAGGCAUACACCCUGAC